AAACUGCGAAUGGCUCAUUAAAUCAGUUAUCGUUUAUUUGAUAGUACCUUACUACAUGGAUAACCGUGGUAAUUCUAGAGCUAAUACAUGCUAAAAAUCCCGACUUCGGAAGGGAUGUAUUUAUUAGAUUAAAAACCAAUGCCCUUCGGGGCUCUCUGGUGAUUCAUAAUAACUUCUCGAAUCGCACGGCCUUGCGCCGGCGAUGGUUCAUUCAAAUUUCUGCCCUAUCAACUUUCGACGGCUGGGUCUUGGCCAGCCGUGGUGACAACGGGUAACGGAGGGUUAGGGCUCGACCCCGGAGAAGGAGCCUGAGAAACGGCUACUACAUCCAAGGAAGGCAGCAGGCGCGCAAAUUACCCAAUCCCGACACGGGGAGGUAGUGACAAUAAAUACUGAUACAGGGCUCUUUCGGGUCUUGUAAUUGGAAUGAGUACAAUUUAAAUCCCUUAACGAGGAACAAUUGGAGGGCAAGUCUGGUGCCAGCAGCCGCGGUAAUUCCAGCUCCAAUAGCGUAUAUUAAAGUUGUUGAGGUUAAAAAGCUCGUAGUUGAACCUUGGGCCUAGCCGGCCGGUCCGCCUCACCGCGUGCACUGGCUCGGCUGGGUCUUUCCUUCUGGAGAACCGCAUGCCCUUCACUGGGCGUGCCGGGGAACCAGGACUUUUACUCUGAAUAAAUUAGAUCGCUUAAAGAAGGCCUAUGCUCGAAUACAUUAGCAUGGAAUAAUAGAAUAGGACGUGUGGUUCUAUUUUGUUGGUUUCUAGGACCGCCGUAAUGAUUAAUAGGGACAGUCGGGGGCAUCAGUAUUCAAUUGUCAGAGGUGAAAUUCUUGGAUUUAUUGAAGACUAACUACUGCGAAAGCAUUUGCCAAGGAUGUUUUCAUUAAUCAGGAACGAAAGUUAGGGGAUCGAAGACGAUCAGAUACCGUCGUAGUCUUAACCAUAAACUAUGCCGAUUAGGGAUCGGACGGCGUUAUUUUUUGACCCGUUCGGCACCUUACGAUAAAUCAAAAUGUU
rnacentral:rRNA from 2 species